GAGCCGAGCCGAACGGAGCCGAGCCGGAGACCGCGUGGAGCCCAGCCCGACUCGAGCCCAGCACGAGCAGAUCCGAACCUGAGCCGAAAGAGCCCGAGCCGAACACGAGCCCGAACCGAAACGAGCCCGAGCCGAACACGAGCCCGAGCCCGCCCUUUCCCCUCAGCCUCGCUGCGCAGAUUCGGUUUGCGUUCCUUUCGCUUGUCAUUGCUUUUGUUGCCAGCAUUGAUUUGUUUGGUUUUGAAUUUGUUCUUCACAGAAAACACCGCAAACAACUCAGAACUUCACCAAGAUGUGCUACAGGGUCUAUAAAUCUGCUAUUUUUUUAUUAGCCCUACUGUAUUACACAGCCUGAGGCAUGGGGACACUGACUGUACCCACCCUGAAGUCAGAACUAAACGGGAGGAGGAAGAGAGAACCACAAAAAGCUCGGGUUCACACCUCUCAACCUAUUUCCUUCGCAGGAAAACAGAGGCUUGGCAGCUGCUAGAGACUGCACAGGAUAACAGGAGUACAACAAACAUAGCUUAGGAUGCAGCCACAAGGUGACCUUAAUAGAUUUAAUUCAAAAUACUCCAUUAUAAAACAAGGGUAGACCUCUUUGCUGUUUUUCACUGAGCAGACUGAUGACAUGCUGUCAAAAACCCUGUGUGCUGGCCUGGGAUGGAACUUUUCUCAAGCACUAAUAACAGCAAAACCAGUUUUAGACUAAGUACACUCACUGAAAAAAACUGCAAUACAAGGGCUGUACAGAGAAAGGUUUUACAGAGGUUUCUCAUCAACAUUUCAAAAGUUUUCAGAGAGACUAAAUCUUUUUAAAGGGGACUGGAAACUCUGAGUCUUAAAAGCCAAUUUAAAUUUAUCAGCAUUCCCUAGAGUUUUCCUUUUUGAAGUAUCUGGCCUUUACUAGAAAAGCUCAGCACUUCUACUGAAUCCUCCUUGCAGCAGAGAAUCCUGCCGACAGGGAAAAUCCAUAAUGGAUGAAAGAAAGACAACUUACUUGGCAUGGAGGCCAUUAUUUUCAGGCAUAUUCCAGGAGUUCUGGGUCACAUUAACAAGACUGUUGGUGGCCUUGAGGAUUGCAAUCCACUCUGCAUCGUACUCCAGCGAGUCGCCUGCGUUGGGAUCAUGCUCCACAUCUAUUAUCUACUUAAAAACACACAGAAAACAGAUAAAGUGAGUUAUUUCUCUUGACACCAAAAUCUGAUUAAAGUUUCAAAUGUUACUUUCA